AUUGAACGCUGGCGGCAGGCUUAACACAUGCAAGUCGAGCGGGCGAGGUUGCUUCGGUAACUGAGCUAGCGGCGGACGGGUGAGUAAUGCUUAGGAAUCUGCCUAUUAGUGGGGGACAACAUUCCGAAAGGAAUGCUAAUACCGCAUACGCCCUACGGGGGAAAGCAGGGGAUCUUCGGACCUUGCGCUAAUAGAUGAGCCUAAGUCAGAUUAGCUAGUUGGUGGGGUAAAGGCCUACCAAGGCGACGAUCUGUAGCGGGUCUGAGAGGAUGAUCCGCCACACUGGGACUGAGACACGGCCCAGACUCCUACGGGAGGCAGCAGUGGGGAAUAUUGGACAAUGGGCGCAAGCCUGAUCCAGCCAUGCCGCGUGUGUGAAGAAGGCCUUCGGGUUGUAAAGCUCUUUCGGCAGGAACGAAACGGUGAGCUCUAACAUAGCUUGCUAAUGACGGUACCUGAAGGAGAAGCACCGGCUAACUACGUGCCAGCAGCCGCAGUAAUAC
rnacentral:rRNA from 1 species